CAUGGCGGCCGCGGGAAUUCGAUUAUCGUAUUACCGCGGCUGCUGGCACGUAUUUAGCCGUUCCUUUCUGGUAAGAUACCGUCACACAUUGAACAGUUACUCUCAAUGUCAUUCUUCUCUUACAACAGUGUUUUACGAGCCGAAACCCUUCAUCACACACGCGGCGUUGCUCCAUCAGGCUUUCGCCCAUUGUGGAAGAUUCCCUACUGCUGCCUCCCGUAGGAGUAUGGGCCGUGUCUCAGUCCCAUUGUGGCCGAUCAGUCUCUCAACUCGGCUAUGCAUCAUCGCCUUGGUAAGCCAUUACCUUACCAACUAGCUAAUGCACCGCGGGACCAUCUCUUAGUGAUAGCAGAACCAUCUUUUAAAUAACAACCAUGCGGUUGUCAUUGUUAUACGGUAUUAGCACCUGUUUCCAAUCACUAGUGAAUUCGCGGCCGCCUGCAGGUCGACCAUAUGGGAGAGCUCCCAACGCGU
rnacentral:rRNA from 1 species